rnacentral:lncRNA from 10 species
GCUGCGCAGGAGGGGCUGCCGCCUCCCUGUCCCCGCCUCGGCCGCGGCCGCGCCUCUUCCCCGGACCCAGCGCGUGGCCGAGUGCCUUGGGGACCCAGGCCUGGGGAAGAGGCAGGGGCGCAGAGGGAAAGAGGUCAGAGAGCCUGGACGAAGAGUGAAGGGCCAGGGACCAAGGCGAGGAGGCACGGACCAGGGCUUUCUUGUGGCUCCAAGUGGUGGCUCGAGCUGCUUUGAAUAAAUCACGUGGCUCUUUGAGCCUCAGUGUCCCUGAAAUGGGCCGUGAGGACGGGAAUGAUGGCCGCGGGGUGAGAUCGCCAGGGGUGACAGGUGCUGGGAGCCAGGGACAGGCUUCCCUUUCCUGAAGAAGCCACCCUUUGCACCCACCAUCCCCUCCCCUCUCCGACCUCUGCAGCCCGAUGCGGGGUGCCACUCGGAGGAGCCUUUGAGCCUUGGGCAUCCUCAAGCUGGUGACUUGGAAACGGGGGGGGGAAGGGGACACUUUUCAGUGUCGCCCUAUGGUGGGAGUUGGGGAGGUGAGGGUCCCAGGUCUCAGAAAGUGGGAGCAGUGGGUUUGGGCCUCUGGGGCCACCUGAGCAGGGGACCCUGGAGGCUAGGUGAGUACACCUGGCCUCAGAGAAAGGGCUAGGGGGCGGGCUGUGGGCGGGGCAGCAGGCCUAGGCCCUGUAUAAGCAAAGGAGAAACAAACAGAUGCCCUCUGACAUCGCUGGAGCUCUGCAGGCCCUCCGAGGGGACCGUGGGAGCAAGAGCUGUUUUCUUGAAAAGCUACCUAGAAUAAAUGUUACCCUGUCACAGUCUCUUAGCAGAAGAGUGGGCUUGUUUUAUUAAUGUUAGCUUGUUGACAGCAGGAGGCCACUGAGAACAGCAGUGUGAUGUGUGGCUGCCCCCGCUCUCUCCACCUCCCUACUCCCUUGCAGAGACCCCCUGUGCUUCUCAUUGCUACCCCAUGUGUGAGAAGAGAUGGUUGAAUAGGUAAGUAGGUCAGGAACAUGGGUCUCCAGGAUGUCACAGGAUGUGCACAACUUAAACAUUAAACAGGGAGGACAGAAGGAAAACCACUUAGGAGGAGGAAGCAGAUGGCAGAGAGCCGUUUAAGAUGGCAGGAGGGUAUCACUCAGGGAGUGCCCCAGAGUGCUUGCUCUGGAGUUUCAGAACCCAAGGAUGCAGACUCUACCCCAGGGACCACAUGGGGACAGAGAGGCAUUAUGGUAAAGGGUGCCUGCCAGGAUGCCCAGGUCCCAGUCUGCUACUUCCUUGACUGGUGGCCUUGGGCUGGUUAUGUAUCCUCUUUGUGGCUUAGUUUCGCCAUCUCUGGAAUGGGGAUACUCACUGGACCUACUGCAGCGUGGUUGUGAGAAUUCCAGGGGAAUGCAUAGGCAGCUCUUAGCACAGUGCCUGGCACAAAGUGAGAGCUCCGUAAGUGCCGGCCCCUCAUUCAUGCGCUGAAUAUGUGUUGAGCUCUUACUACGUGCCAGGCACUAUGGUUAAUGCUGGGGAGACAGUAAAGCCUAGACAAAUCCCUGCUGACAUUCUGACCUGAUAGCAGCAUCAUAGCAGUGAACACUGGAAGCCACACCAAACUCCAGCCCAGCCAGCUGGAUGUAGAUGGCUCCAGGGACAAUGCCAGCCCGGCGUUCCCGCCUCCGGAUCACUGUCACCACCCCUAGAGCACUAUGGCCUAUAACAGACUUUUUGUUGAAACCCCCUAAAAAAUGUUUAACAAUAUGUUUGCCUUACACAUUUUCAAGUUGGCAUCUAAAAUGAGUUUUUUAAUCAUAUAUUUAAAUAGGGUAUAUUGUAUUUAUU